UGGGGAAUUUUGGACAAUGGGCGAAAGCCUGAUCCAGCCAUGCCGCGUGAGUGAAGAAGGCCUUCGGGUUGUAAAGCUCUUUUAGUCGGAAAGAAAAGAUCAUAAUGAACAAUUAUGAUUCAUGACGGUACCGACAGAAAAAGCACCGGCUAACUACGUGCCAGCUGCCGCGGUAAUACGUAGGGUGCGAGCGUUAAUCGGAAUUACUGGGCGUAAAGGGUGCGCAGGCGGUUUUGUAAGUCAGGUGUGAAAUCCCCGGGCUUAACCUGGGAAUUGCGUUUGAAACUGCAAGACUAGAGUGCAGCAGAGGGGAGUGGAAUUCCAUGUGUAGCAGUGAAAUGCGUAGAGAUGUGGAAGAACACCGAUGGCGAAGGCAGCUCCCUGGGUUGACACUGACGCUCAUGCACGAAAGCGUGGGGAGCAAACA
rnacentral:rRNA from 1 species